AACGUAGGUUCCGAGCGUUAUCCGGAUUUACUGGGCGUAAAGCGCGUUCAGGCGGUUUGGCAAGUCGGGCAUGAAAUCUCUCGGCUCAACCGGGAGAGGUUGUCCGAUACUGCUGGACUUGAGGGCAGUAGAGGGUGGUGGAAUUCCGGGUGUAGUGGUGAAAUGCGUAGAUAUCGGGAGGAACACCUGUGGCGAAAGCGGCGCACUGGACCACAACUGACGCUGAGGCGCGAAAGCUAGGGGAGCAAACGGG
rnacentral:rRNA from 1 species